rnacentral:lncRNA from 1 species
GCUGGGACAGCAGCAGCAGCAGCUCCCAGCCCAGCCCGCCGUUCCAUCCAUCCAUCCGUCCGUCCGUCCGUCCGUCCGUCCGUCCGUCCCUCGGCGGGGCGCGGUGCUGCAGCUCACGACCACAUCUGGCCUUGACCUUCUCAGUAGCAGAUCAGGAUCCCAAAGCCCUUCACUACAAGACAUCUGCACCUUUCAGAGUGGAAGCCUUGAUGUAAAUAGGUAGACAGGCACAUACUUCGCUUGGAUCAGUGGAGCAUCUCCUGGUAGCAAAGCCAAGACUGUAAGUGCGUGCUGGGUUAGCGGGUGGGCACGGGCUUCCCUCGGGAUAGGGACACACAGGGACACCUCACCGCAGCUUCCAGGGACCCGGUAAGUGUCAUGAGAUGUCUCGGCGACCUCCAAAAAUUAAGUUUGCAGCAAGGCAGCUGGAGUAGUUCU